UUUUUAUGAGAGUUUGAUCCUGGCUCAGGACGAACGCUGGCGGCGUGCCUAAUACAUGCAAGUAGAACGCUGAAGUCUGGUGCUUGCACUAGACGGAUGAGUUGCGAACGGGUGAGUAACGCGUAGGUAACCUGCCUCAUAGCGGGGGAUAACUAUUGGAAACGAUAGCUAAUACCGCAUAACAGUAUUUACCGCAUGGUAGAUGCUUGAAAGGAGCAACUGCUUCACUAUGAGAUGGACCUGCGUUGUAUUAGCUAGUUGGUGAGGUAACGGCUCACCAAGGCUUCGAUACAUAGCCGACCUGAGAGGGUGAUCGGCCACACUGGGACUGAGACACGG
rnacentral:rRNA from 1 species